rnacentral:tRNA from 1 species
GCGGAAGUAGUUCAGUUGAUAGAACAUCACCUUGCCAUGGUGAGGGUCGCGGGUUUGAGUCCCGUCUUCCGCUCCA